AGAGACAAACUGUAAAUCUUUUGACAGAAACAGCUUAGAAUUGUAAUAACCUGUUUCCUGUGCAGUGAUGUAUAAAGCCUCAAUUGCUUUAGCCCUCUUACAUAUAAUCUGCCUCAGUUUUCUUCUAAUAGGAGUCAUAAAUGGAGAUACAGUAACCCAACUAGAGUCAAGCAAGACUGUAUAUGAAGGGGAUGAUGUCAUGCUGUCCUGCAAUUUUACAACAACCAGCAUCGUUGCACACUUGCAUUGGUACCAGCAGAAGUCAAAUGGACCUCUAGAAAAUCUAGGACUUUAUACAGGUACAUAUGAAAAUAAUGCAACAAAAGGACGUUUCAAAUCAAUGUAUGAAAUUUCCAAGAGUUCUACAUCUCUCAGCAUCUCAGAAGCUCAGCUCUCUGACUCAGCAGUUUACUACUGUUCAUUCAGUGACACAGUGACAAACAUCCCAACUAACAGAAUACAGAAACUGCCAAAGCAGGCAACAGGAGUGCACAACUGUCCACUGCAUCCUCACAAAUAUAUACAAGAUGCAUUCCUAAUGUGGUCUUGGGGACUUCCUUCUGUGCUGUCUCAUUAG